AUGAGCAGACCUGCGGCCGCCGCGGGGCCCCAUGGAGAAGCAGCCGCCGCCGCCGGUGCGCCCAACAGUGAGCACAACCUUGUCGGCGCCCCCUCCGCGGCCGGCACGCCUGGCCGGACUUCCUCUGCGGCGACGGCGGCGGCCGUGCUCUCCUUCAGCACCGCGUCGGCCGCGGCGCUGGGGAACCAGAGCGGUGGGAGCGGGGGCGACAGCACUGGCGCCUCGGCUGGCGGCGGCCUCGGCGGGCACGGCGCGGCGGGGAGGCCACCGCUGGGCUCCGCGGCGGCGCCGCUGCUAUCUCAGGGGACGGCGGGGGCGGCUUGUCCUCCUGCUCAUCUUCCUGCUGUCUAGCCUGGGCAACUGCGCGGUGAUAGGGGUGAUCGUGAAGCACCGGCAGCUCCGCACCCUCACCAACGCGUUCAUCCUGUCCCUGUCUCUGUCGGAUCUGCUCACGGCGCUGCCCUGCCUGCCAGCCGCCUUCCUGGACCUCUUCACGCCGCCCGAGGGCCCGGCGCCCGCCGCCGCCGCGGGGCCCUGCGCCGCCAGCCAUUUCUUCAGCUCGUGCUUCGGCAUCGUGUCCACGCUCAGCGUAGCCCUCAUCUCGCUGGACCGCUACUGCGCCAUCGUGCGGCCGAGCGGGAGAAGAUCGGGCGCCGCCGCGCGCUGCAGCUGCUGGCCGGCGCCUGGCUGGCGGCGCUGAGCUUCUCCUUGCCUUGGAAGCUGCUCCGUGCUACCUCGGAGUCCCCGGCGGCGCAGAGCUUCCACGGCUGCCUGUACCGGACGUCCCCGGACCCCGCGCAACUGGGCGCGGCCUACAGUGUGGGGUUGGUGGUGGCUUGCUACCUGUUGCCCUUCCUGCUCAUGUGCUUCUACCACUACCACGUCUGCAGGACUGUGCGCCUGUCGGACUUGCGCGUGCGGCCCCUGACCACCUGCGCGCGCGUGCUGCGCUUCUUCAGCGACGUGCGCACGGCCACCACAGUGCUCAUCAUGAUUGUCUUCGUCAUCUGCUGCUGGGGGCCCUACUGCUUCCUGGUGCUGCUGACCGCGGCCCGGCAGGCCCAAGCCACGCAGGCUCCCUCGCUCCUCAACGUGGUGGCCGUAUGGCUGACCUGGGCCAAUGGGGCCAUCAACCCUGUCAUCUGUGCCAUUCGCAACCCAAACAUUUCGAUGCUCCUAGGGCGCAUCCGGGAAGAGGGCUACCGGACUAGGAACAUGGACGUUUUCCUGCCCAACCGGGGCCCGGCUGUGCCGGAUAGAAGCUGCAGUCCCCUUCGAAAACCGCUAUAGCAACCACCUGGGGGCCUGCAGCAGGAUGUCCUCUUCCAGCCCGACCAGCGUGGUGGGAGGGGACUUGGCCAUGUGGGCUCGCAAAAAUCCAGUUGUGCCCGGAGGGGCCACCAGAUCCUGCGACAGCAGCAGCUGAACAGCCUAAAUCUGAAGCCGGGGAUACCAGCCUCCAAGAAGGGUUGGGAUGCAUAGCUUGUGAAGGCAAAUUUUCACCCGCUUCGAUGAACAAUACAGGAUUCCGGGGGAGAAUCGUGUGUUUCAUAAAGCCAAACAUUUACAAAAGAGACAGAGGGGGAGGCUUACCACUUCCCCCAAACAACAUACAAGGCAGUGUCCUUUCCUUCAGAAGUGCUGAAAGGAAUGUAAAGUGCAAAACUUAA